AAUACAGAAGAAGAAAAUUGCACGUCUGAUUUAUUUGCAGUGUCCACAAAAAACAGAAGAACCAUUCUUAGGUUACAGUUAGAUGCCACACUUUGAUGCUUGCUGUUUGGUACAACAUAACUUUGUACUAACUUUGAAGCAUUAGAUAAAUGUUAGCCCAGACACAAAGGUGCCAGGCUUUUUCUGAGAGCUUUCAUACACUCAAAAAAAUGAAUGAGGUGGAUUGUUCAGUGUAUAUUAAUUAUUUAUUUUCAUUUUACUUAAAAUAUAUGUUUUUGUUAAGUUAACAUGUGUUUUUCUAAUCAAGUCUACGUAAUUGUGUCUAUUAUUCACUGUACAUAAUACUAAUGUGUUACUUGAUGGCAUGACAUUUAAGUUAAGUCAAUUAGGAUCGAUAUACUUUGUAUAUCCACUAGGUGGCAGUAAUGCAAAAACAGUUGUAAUGAAACCGCGAAGAACAACAAGGUUUCACGGCUUGGGCCUGCUCAUGAGCAAGACUUCAAAUUUAACUUAAAAACGUUGUUUUGGCGCCAAGCUGCUGUUUCUUUGAGAGAUCCUGCCUUUACCUGCUCCCUCCUAUACUGAUGUGGUGUAUGUGGUACUGCUGAGCUUGUAUGUGAUCUGAACCAUUGUAAAGGUUGCAGUUCAAGGGCCUGAGGUGGAAGCAGAAUUUGUGAGGAUUACUACUGCUCCACUUGUUCCAAGGCUUUUUGCACAACUUGACCAAUACACUGACCGGCUCAUAAAAGUCUUCAAGAAAAAAGGAGGCGCUGCAGUGAAGUAAAUUAGACAAAUUUUGGCCCCACCCACACAGGUGCAUUAUUCUGUUGGUAGCAAAAUAUUAUGGCUAAUAAGAUCACUUUCAAAUUUAAACAGCUAGUGUAUGGUAGCUGCACAGUGUACUUACAUUUAUAUUAAGCAAGACAAAGUUUGGUACUCAAAACUUUGGAAAAUUAAAAUUACCUAAACAUAAGUAAAAUCUGAUCCCUCAAUUUCGGGUUAAACCAUAAGUGAAUGUUUUUAUGUUAAAGAUCAGUUUUUGAAUGCAAAAACGAUGAUGUAUUAGUUUGUCUAUACCUCCAUUAUGGACAUAUAUAAUGUGGUGGAAACCCUGCCCAACAGGUUAACUAUUCAUGUCCAUGUGAUGAUUAGUUGGUCUUGUGUACAUGUCUAUCUGUGCAGUGAAUAUGUCAUUCAUUUUGCGUAUAAUGUGAGUUUGUGUCAUCCUAAAGUAUAUCUGUUUUCUCUUCCUGUAUCUCUGCCACUCUCUACGGAAGGAAACUAUUGAAAAGGGGAGGGAGUGUGUCCUCAGGGCACUACCUUUUUACCUGAAUGAAGACCCAAGUAUCCUCUUCAAAGAAUAAUUGCUACAGCUACAGCUGUUCAGAGGGAGCUGGAACAAAUUACCCUUGCUGUCUUCACCAUCGAAAAAGCUGAUGUCAGCACUCCUCCAGCCGAUGUGGGUAUAACCAUCUAGGGUGUUCUGCAUGACCUGGAAAACAUGGCCUUUGAAGUACUUCAGAAGCUCUUCCUUCAUCUGUAUGUCAGCAGACUCUUGACCAAGGUACAGAUGCUCAAGAAUAAACUGAAUGAAUAAGCCAACCCUUAAUUUGGAUGAUGAAUGUUCUGUCAGAUGGACGGAAGUUUUUCAGAGGCUGAAUGGGAAUAAAACGGUAAUUUGUUGAAAAUGACAGAUAAA